GACGAACGCUGGCGGCGUGCUUAACACAUGCAAGUCGAACGGAAAGGCCCUGCUUUUGUGGGGUGCUCGAGUGGCGAACGGGUGAGUAACACGUGAGUAACCUGCCCUUGACUUUGGGAUAACUUCAGGAAACUGGGGCUAAUACCGGAUAGGAGCUCCUGCUGCAUGGUGGGGGUUGGAAAGUUUCGGCGGUUGGGGAUGGACUCGCGGCUUAUCAGCUUGUUGGUGGGGUAGUGGCUUACCAAGGCUUUGACGGGUAGCCGGCCUGAGAGGGUGACCGGCCACAUUGGGACUGAGAUACGGCCCAGACUCCUACGGGAGGCAGCAGUGGGGAAUAUUGCACAAUGGGCGGAAGCCUGAUGCAGCAACGCCGCGUGCGGGAUGACGGCCUUCGGGUUGUAAACCGCUUUCGCCUGUGACGAAGCGUGAGUGACGGUAAUGGGUAAAGAAGCACCGGCUAACUACGU
rnacentral:rRNA from 1 species